rnacentral:rRNA from 1 species
AUCGAACGCUGGCGGCAGGCUUAACACAUGCAAGUCGAGCGGAGUGAUGGUGCUUGCACUAUCACUUAGCGGCGGACGGGUGAGUAAUGCUUAGGAAUCUGCCUAUUAGUGGGGGACAACAUCUCGAAAGGGAUGCUAAUACCGCAUACGUCCUACGGAAGAAAGCAGGGGAUCACUUGUGACAUUGCGCUAAUAGAUGAGCCUAAGUCGGAUUAGCUAGUUGGCGGGGUAAAGGCCUACCAAGGCGACGAUCUGUAGCGGGUCUGAGAGGAUGAUCCGCCACACUGGGACUGAGACACGGCCCAGACUCCUACGGGAGGCAGCAGUGGGGAAUAUUGGACAAUGGGGGGAGCCCUGAUCCAGCCAUGCCGCGUGUGUGAAGAAGGCCUUAUGGUUGUAAAGCACUUUAAGCGAGGAGGAGGCUCUUUUGGUUAAUACCCAAGAUGAGUGGACGUUACUCGCAGAAUAAGCACCGGCUAACUCUGUGCCAGCCGCCGCGGUAA